UGGGCCAAACUAUAAUUUGCCAACGGGCUGGCCCGGCUCGGGAUAAACGGGCACGGCCCGAUGAAGCCUGACAAUAGAGGGGCCGGGCCAGGCCGGCACCAAAACUCUUCCUCCAUGCCCAGGUGCAACAUCGAGCCCGGACGGGCUGGCCUAGGCCUGUUAAGCCCAACGGGCCCAGCAAAAAAUAAAAAAUGGGCCAAAACCGGUAGAAAUGAUGGGCCAAAUGUAAAAAUGAGUUGGGUUGGGUCAGAAUUGAGAAAGUUAAUGGGCCAAAUGUAUUAAUCCUAAAAAAAGAAAUAUAGAACUGUCCGUGCUGGGUUGGCUAAGACCCGAGGUUGAAUCCUAGGCACGGCAUAGGUGGGGCCUCGGGCCGGCCUGGUCCAAUUAUUUUAUACACAAUACAUAUAUUAUUUUAUACGUUUUUUAGUGUUGUUAAUGCAACAAAAUAUCUUUGCUAAGAAGAGUCUCGUUUGUUAUGUCACAUAUCUAAUUAUGAAGAUGUUUCUACAAUAACAAGAUAUAACUACAUAUUAAUAGUUAUAAAAAUCCGAGUUGACAAUUCAUAUCUAUUUGUUAUAGCCUUCUAUGAAACAUUAGAUUACCAAAAUACAUAGCACAAAGAUCGUCACAAAAAUGCAUGCAGAUUUUGGUGAGGCAUUUACAAAAAAAGUCAUAUAUUUGUCAUUGUUUUCUACUCUAUGAGACUUAUUGCAGCCGUCUGCUUAUGAUUACUCGUAAAUAUUAAAUUAAUUCCCAAAAUUAAUACAAAUUCACAUAUUCAAAUAUUAAACGUUGAAAAAUACAAUGUCAUAAAAAUUAUUAAAAACUAAAAAAAAAUACAUGAAAUAUGGAUAUUAGUUCGACCUACCUCAAAAAUAAAUUGUCCUUCGCCCAUGUACUCAGAUAUGUAUGACUUUUGGUCGAUUUAAUAUCUCCAGUGACCCAAUUCAGAGUGCUUUUGUACUUAUUAAUUUUUUAUAAUGGAGCCCCAAUCUAGCUGAAUCGUUAUUUUACGUGCACACUUCGGCUGUCUAAACAUCUCCACAGGAAUUUACAUCAUCAAUCAACCACUAAUUCAAUUAGUCUAAUUAUUCUAUUAAGGUCCUACAAAUUACUGCUUUUUACUACAAGUUUUGCAC
rnacentral:lncRNA from 1 species